UUCAAUUGAUUUGUUCAAAAGAGAAAAAAAAAAGGAAAUUAUCUUAAAAUAUAAUUUGUUUUUAUGCUUGCAUCUAUCCGAACACUAAAAACAAAAGGCAACCAAAAAAUGUCAUGUGAGAAAAGAUCUCAAGCUCCAUUACCAUUAAACAUAGACCUAAAGAUCAUACAACAUGAUAAGAUUUUUAGCCUUUUAUACCCCAAAAAUAAACAAAAAAAAUCAAUAACUCAACAAAGUGCAUCAAAUCUAAAACUUUCAACAUUUUUAGAUUCAUCAGUAAACCCUCUUAUGAAUAGCUCUAAAACGGAAGAUGAUUUCAACACUUUGAUUAACUUCCUUUCUCCUCACUUUUCCUUUCUCUUCUAUCAUGGAAACCGCACCACAUUACUAGUAAGUGAAAAUCCCUUGUGAAAUUUAAGAUCCAAACAGGAAAAUAGACUACUAACAUCCUAAAUAAACACUCCUCAAAUCCACAAUCCAAAUAAGUAAAAUACAUCAUCUCUAAUUAUCGUCAUUCUCAAUAAUUCACUCACAACAGAAAUAGGAAUAUCACCCUAAAUUAGUAGAGCAUUUAAGAGAAACAUAUCAUGAAUUCCAUUUUUGUUGAUUAAAAUAUUGAAGAAAAAUCCAAGUGAAUAUAGAAUGAAGAGCUUAUGGCAGAAUUCCACUUCAAGAAACAGCCUCCUUCCUCAUGCUCCCUUUUCUCUCUGUUUUCUCUUUUUACAAGAACCCAAAAAUAAGAUUCUCAAGGCUUUCUUUCUCACAAAAACCACUCCGCCUCUCUCUUUAACUCUUUAAUAUAUCUUCCAUCUACCCAAAUCUUCUUCUUCUUUUUUCCCUUUCCACCCAACCCUCUCUUUCACCUACUAUCUUUCUUAAUUUUCCCUCUUUUUUCUUCUUCAAAGAAGACCCUAAAUCAUUCAAUAAUCUUUCCUCUAAAACCUCGAGAAACUCAAAACUCAAACCCAGCCUCCUUCAAAAUUGUUUUUUCUUCUUCUUUCGGUUCAAGUACCCGAGCCCUUCUCCUACAAUACCUUGUUGCCAUUUGCGUCCUCAAUUGUUCUCUAUCUCAUGCCAUUCAGCUUCGUCAUGGUCGACAUGACACUUUGUUUCUUUGUUAUCGCUUCUAUCUCUGAUUCUUUUUUCUCUUUUCUCUGCCACGUUACAUCUGUCAGGCUCUCUUCUUUGCCUAUCGCCACUUUCUCUCUCCUUGCACCCCUCUGCAACUCCUGACUCUUGUCUUGUUCCUCAUAAUGGAAGACUUUCUCAUUGAAGACGAAAAGGAGAACUAAAAUUUUCUCAAGUAACGUUGUUUUUAAGGAGAUGUGAGCCUGGGCCUUGUGGUUUUCAAUUUUGGGCCAAGUAGGGCAUUGGGUUGUAUUUAAUUUGGUUAUGCGCUAAAUAAGUUUAAAUGAUUAUAAGUGUAUUUUAUAGAGUUAUG
rnacentral:lncRNA from 1 species